rnacentral:lncRNA from 1 species
UUGUUUUCCAAUACACACAAAGCUUUUGAUCAAAACCUUUAUGGUGAGUUAUGAUCCGGGUGGGUUGCAAUGGCCAAUGCUACUAGUGAAAUUCUAUGGAUGCGUUGAUUGCUUGAGGCACUAGAAACAAAACAACAUGGAACUACGCAACUCUACUGUGACAACAAUGCAGCUCGACACAUCGCAAAUAAUCCAGUCUUCCAAGAACGAACAAAGCACAUGGAAAUGGACUACUAUUUUGUCAAGGAACGAGUUGAAUCGCAUGAAAUCAAACCCCUCUAUGUUGACAAGAAGGCACAAAUAGCCGACCUUCUCACAAAGGCUUUGGGGACCAAACAACUCGAGUUUCUGCUGGUCAAGAUGGGCAUGCGAAAUCUGCAUGCUCCACCUUGAGGGGGAGUAUUGAGAUUGCAUUAUUUUAUGCAUAUUUCCCUCUCCGUGUUUUACUCUCCAUCAAGGAUCCAUCCUUAUCUCCAGCAUAUUGAUAGCCGUGCACGUCAUUUCCAUUUUAUUAGUUUCCAUCUUGAGAUUCUUCUAUUGUCUAUUUAGGCUUGUAACUUCUUGUAAUCCUGUAUCAAUUGUUGUCCAAUACACUCAAAUCUUUUGAUCAAAACCUUUAGUUAAUAACCAAAUAGUUUUAUAUU